UGGGGAAUAUUGCACAAUGGGCGCAAGCCUGAUGCAGCCAUGCCGCGUGUAUGAAGAAGGCCUUCGGGUUGUAAAGUACUUUCAGCGAGGAGGAAGGCGUUGUGGUUAAUAACCGCAGCGAUUGACGUUACUCGCAGAAGAAGCACCGGCUAACUCCGUGCCAGCAGCCGCGGUAAUACGGAGGGUGCAAGCGUUAAUCGGAAUUACUGGGUGUAAAGCGCACGCAGGCGGUCUGUCAAGCCGGAUGUGAAAUCCCCGGGCUCAACCUGGGAACUGCAUCCGAAACUGGCAGGCUAGAGUCUUGUAGAGGGGGGUAGAAUUCCAGGUGUAGCGGUGAAAUGCGUAGAGAUCUGGAGGAAUACCGGUGGCGAAGGCGGCCCCCUGGACAAAGACUGACGCUCAGGUGCGAAAGCGUGGGGAGCAAACA
rnacentral:rRNA from 1 species